rnacentral:misc_RNA from 1 species
UCUCCGUUGGUGAACCAGCGGCGGGAUCAUUACAGGACUCGCAAGACUCCUACAACCCUGUGAACUUAACUAUAAGCACGUUGCUUCGGCGGGUGUCUCGGAGGGGGUUCUCCCUCCCCGAGACGCUAAACCCGCCGGCAGCCUACUAUACUCUGUCUCUUUGCGUUGGCAUCUCGAGUACAAUCAAACAAGUUAAAACUUUCAACAACGGAUCUCUUGGUUCUG